AAAUGAACGAAAGUGGAGACACUACAAUCCACUUAGAUCGUUGGGACGUAGAAAAGAAGAAAGGUGCAUUGACAUUGCUCGAAACUUUGUUAAUAUUGUUGAAGGGUGGCUAGAAUAUAUAAGACCUCAAGCACGAGUGUUCAUAGAAAC